UAAAGAUUCCCACCGAUGUAUGUAUUUCUAACUUAUGAGUUAUUUUUAUAUUUACACAUAUCUCAUAUAAUUAAAUAGUUGGAAUUAAUUCAAAUAUGUUAUAUUAUUAUGUAGUACUUUGAUGAAUUCAAGUGUGCAUUUUAUACAAAGGAUCAAGUGGACGAAAUCAAGAGGAGUGGUGUCAAUUCAUGAUAGAGCUCAAUGUUUGUUCAUAAAUUUGUGUAAUUAAUGUGUACAUUUGUAGUAUAUGUUAUGACUUGUAAAUGUGUACAUAAAUUUGUAUAUAUUUUGAUACAUUUAAGGCAAAAUUGGUUUGAAUUGGUAUAUAUAUAUAUUUGUUAGCCAAAAA
rnacentral:lncRNA from 1 species